CUCUGAGUGGCACAGCAGCAAGUAUAAGAAACCAUUCGCACCAUGCGUGCCUGUGUGUGUGUGUGUAGGGGACAGACAGCCUCAAGACCCAAAAGGGGGGGGGGGGGGGGGGGGGGGCGGCGAAGAGAUGGGGGAGGAGGAGGAGAGAGGGAAGGAAAUCCGAAUAGCAAGAGGGGUUGCGGGGAGGGAUGGGAUUUGCUGGGGCUGGGGUGGGUUUUUUUUGCUGGUGGUGGUAGUGGUCCUCAAGGAAAGAAUAACAACCUGCUGGAUCUCACCAGCGGGCUGGAGGAGAGGGGUGUCGCCAAGGCAGGCGGAGCGGAGGCGAAGCCGCACCGAGCAGCGGGAGGCCGGAGCGAGCCGAGGCGGCCCGGCGAGGGGCGAGAGGGGCUCAUCCCGCCGGCUGCGGCGCUGGGGAGGGGGCUGCUCGCCCCGCGGAGCUCUCCGCGCCCGGGCAGGAUCCGCGGGACUCGGCCGAUCGCCCCUCGGGGAGUGAGGGGGGCGGGGGAGGGAGAGGGGGCCGCCUGCGCGGCGGGGAGCGGGGGAGCCGCGGAGUGGGGGGGGGACACGGGACGGCGCCACCUCCGCCCGGGGGAGCGACCCAGCCCGGGGUGGGGAGGGGGGGCCCGGCCCGGCCGAGGGCAGUCCGCGGAGGGGGGGCCCGGCCCGGGCCGGGGGGCUGGGGGGGGGGGGGGCCAGCAGCCCGCUGCUGGGCUGCGCGGCGCCCGCUCCUCCUCCUCCUCCUCCUCCUCCUCCCACCGCCCAGCGAGCCUCAGCGGCCGUAUCGACCGGCCGGCGGCACCUGCCUGCCCGCCCCACGCCCCCGCGUCCCGGCCGGGCCCGCUCUGCAUCCCCGGCAGGGAGAGGCGGCGGCGGGGGCCUUUGCGUGGGGAACCGGCCUCUCGGAGCCACGCGAGGCGGUGGACAUCGCGGCGAGAAACAUUAGUGGGGUAGGGGUAGAGGAGUGGGCGGAUAUCCUUCUAAUCAGCCGUGCCCCUCUCCCUGCCCUGGGUAAGCGAAGCAUCCCCCGCCUCCGUUCCCCCCCCUCCCGGCGCUUCUGGGCUCUCUGCAUGGAAAUCACGAGCUGGGUCGGUGGAAAAAUCUCCCUUUUCCUCUCAUAGUGGCUCCGGGGUGUGUGCUGAAUUUCAAGGUGUGUGUGGGAGGGGGAGGCUGCGCCAGCAUUUAUGGAGCUUGGGGGGUGUGUGUGUCCCCUCCCCCGGUCCCUCGCCUAUAUAUGAGCUGUAAGCAGACACUCUCGUUUAUGACUAAUAAAAACGUAUUUGCUAUGUAUAGUUAGGCAGAGAGCUUGGUACUAGUAAACUGAAAGCCAGCACAGCCUACAAAUCAACAAGAAGCUUUGGCAUCCCUGCAUGCCGGUGCGAUAGCCUGGCUGUGUUCACACCAUGCUUCCCAGGAUCAGUAAGCACAGUGACCAUAUAGACUAUGGGAUGUAUACGUUGGACAAUAUGGAGUGACCACCAGUAUUCCACCAGCACUUGACCGUUGUGCUACGUGUGGUCUUCAAAAGAGACUGUCAUUUCUGUUGAGCUUUUUGAUCAAGAAGGUUUUUGUCUUCACUCAAUUAUCUCUCUAAGCACCGGUGUGGAGUGUACAUUUGCCAGUCUGGCAGUUUUAUGUUUUCAGAAUCUGUUGUAAGAGGUUCGGCAGCUGCACAAACCCAAGAUUCCUCUGGCAUCACAUUGUUUUGUUCCUGUCAGCAUGCUUAAUCAUUUUCAUACCAGAGAACUGUGGAGUGAUCUGAUCUCAGCAGUGAUUUAGCCUGCUUUGGUUUUUAUCGUCUUUUUUUUUGGAGAGGAGGGAGGAAAAGGGGUGAAGGAAGGAUGUUAUGGUUAGUAAAGAAAAAAAUGCAGUGUCCAUUUCAAGUGUAGUAGCUGUUAAAUGUGCAGGCAUGUAUAUGAUUCAUUAUGCAGUUAUAAAAACAAAAGACGUACCAUCUUGCCUCUUUGCCUCAGAAUACAAUUUCUCUUACAGCAACAAAUAGCACAGGCUCCUCUCCCCCUCUCCUCUCCCCCUCCUGACUUCAGCCCAUCCUGACAAAAUGCCAGUUACAAAGGUCAGCCUGUUUAUGUAAAGAUCACUGUGUUUCUUAACAAAGACUGCUGCACAUCAAGCCUGCAAUGACUAUCAGAUAGACUUUUGGAUUCAAGACACUCAAUAAGAGUACUGUCCAUUUUCUGAAACUUAUAAAAUCCCAGAGAAAACAAAAGACAAAGACGUAGUGUGUGAAUGGGAUGGAUUGACAGUGCCAGAGUGCACACGAGCAGCAAUAUCGUCAUAGCAGUGUUUGUUACUGCCAAUGCUAGCAAGAUCCAAUGGAUAUUUUUGUGUGUGUUUCUUGCAAACCGCGGUGAUGUGCUAAGCUGAACUUGCUCUGCAGCCACUUCACACCAAAGGUGGCUUAAAUCAGCCAAGGAGAAUUUUGAGCCUGACCAGCUCCACGCUCCCAAUAGAAGAGAAAAGAUUGACUUCACUAACACUUCACUCAGACCCUUCACAAUUAGGUCCAAUUUGCAUUUCAUAGCAUCCAGAGGUGCAGUGGGCUUAGUUUGCUCUUUAUUUCACUGUGCUCCCUUUCCCUCCCUGCCAACUUCUUUUAUCUAGAGAGCAGCACAACUUUGUUUUCUCUACCAGUAUCACCUCUUCUGGUCCUUUCCCACUCUAAUAAGCGUAUUCUGACAUUAUUCAUUUGUGCGUAUACGUCCAAUACCUAAAGGUUAAAAAAAGUUACCUUGGAGUAACAACACAGAUCUUCCACCAAGACCUAAUUGCCACCACAGUUCCUUUUUUAGCCCUUAAAAUAGUCCUGAAGCAGAGUUAAAGUGUUGUAGAGGACUAUCAUGCCUUUUGUUCAAUGGUGUUAAUAAACAGUGGCCUUAGAAUGUAAUAUUACAAAAUCUCAUCAUAGGGCAGAAUACUGAAAUUACAAGCAGUGGAAAAAAAUUGUACUUAAAUGGGGCAGGAAUUUACACCACCUGCUGAAAAUGCUAAAUCCAGACUUGGGACCCAGUCUUAACUGCGGAGCUGCACAGCAUCAUGUGAGAGGGGAGAGGCACAUCAAGUCCUCCCAACCUAAAAGCCUUGUGGCCCUGAAUUACAGGUUAAUAGAUUCUUUUGUUCUGUAAAUCUGCAUUAAAUAGCAGUAUUUAUCUGUGUUGGUAGAUGCACAUUUUAACAAGGUAUUCCAUAACAUUUUAUUUUUUAUACUUCAUAUAAUCAGGCUUUUGACCCUCUUUCUUCCAGAACCUGCUGCAUGUUUCUCUUUAGCUACUGAAAAAUGUAUGCAAUUUUUAAGCCAGUUCAGCAGUUACCCUUAGUUUGCAACAGACAAACCUAUUAUGCAAACAAUACUGUCACCUUCUUAAAGUGCCUUCCUUCUCCCAGCUAUAAUGAAUUCUCUGCAUGCUACUCUGCUGUAAAUUCUCCAUCUAAAUAUUCCAUCCACUACAUGUUUUUUUCAGGGGAAACAGUACCUGACUUUUGAAACAGUUGGGAGGAGCAAAAUGAUAACCUACUAAAGUGCCUUGCCCUUAACUGAAAUUAUGGCGAAGUAAUUAAAGUUAGAGCAAAGAGGCUUAAGCUUUGGACUGCUUAUGUUCUUAGUGUUUUUGCUUGGUUCUUGUCUUGCAACAGCUUGGGUUGGAUCACUGGCACACAACAGGUAUGUGUUCUUGUCAGCAGCAGCCAUCACCCUUGCAACGUUUCUACUUCCUGACUGGUGGAGGACUGAUACUAGGAAGAUGCUAAGUUCUCUUCUCAGUCACAAAGGAAAGGAGGCAGUAAAAAGAUGUCUCUUAUGUCAUUUAUUUGAUUAUGUUCUCCAUUUGUCAAAGCAGUGGAGCACAAAGCCCAAAUGUAUUUUGUGAAGCACUCUGGAAUCUGGUUGGUUUUAAGCAUGCUCUUAAAAACUUCGACAAACAAGGAUGGCUUUGUAUCUUACUCUCUAGUAUGUGUUCUGCCAAUUCAUAUGGCAGCAGUAAUUUAUACAAUUAAAGUGGUGCAAAUGUCUUUACCAGAAA